ACUGCUCAUAUUUCUUUGAGACCAGGAAAAUCUCUUGAAUCCCCAUUGAAACAUCGACAAAUGGUGCCCCUGUUUUAAGCAGCUGAAGGAGUGAAGCAGUCAAGCUCUCCAGAGAACUAGUCGAAGGCCUGCUUGGAGCCAGAAUCCAGGGAAUCAAAAUAACCAUGGACAGCCAGUGAGUGCUUGAGGAAAAAUCCAGGUGCUGGACACCUGGAACGGGUCCAUGAAAGAACUGUCACCUACUAAGUGGACAGUGAGAGGACACAAGGAACUGGGAUGGUUAACCUACCUUGAAGCUACAAGCCCACAUCUGCAAACUGGGGAGGAAGACAGCAAUGAAGAAAGGGUCUUCCAAGAAGACUGUCACUCCAGCUGCUGCUGAGACAAUAGAAGGCAAACAGUGAUUCUCUACACACAGGAAGAAGACUGAGUGUGCCAUGAUUGUGGUGAAAGGACUUCUGGCACUGCAAUGGUCACGCAGUGAAUACUCUGACCAGGAGCGCAAGUUCUCUGGCUUAUGCCAAAAGAAGGAAAUGGGUAAUUGGUUUUGAAGGACUGUGUGGAUCUGUCUGGCUGCAUGGGACACCAGGUCCACAGAAGUCUAAAGCUCGGGUGGACUUCAGGGCAAAAUGUACCCACCCUAAUGUCAUUAGGAUACAGCGAGGAAGAAGCCAGCUGUAUUUCUGGAGUGACAGUGGGCUAUCAGCAGUUGUCUGUUUUGGAGGCUGAGCUGCUGUUCUCAAGGAUCAACACUAUCUUAAAAAUGACUGCAAAAAUGUCUGUUUGAUAGCAGGUAGUGGCAUAUCUAGGAAAUCUGGCAUCUACUCGGAACAGAGUGCAGCAUUUCAGUGCUAGUCAACAAAAAUUGCAAAUGCUUUCCUGAACUCCUGGCUUUGGACCUGAUAGAGCUGAUUUUCUUCUCCUG